UUAACGUGGGCCUCAGUUUCCCUACACAGGUCGGGAACAUGUCAGCAGGUACCGCCGAGGGAUGUGGAGCGUGUCCAGGGAACGAGCACCAGACGCCGCCCGCCCCCAAGCUGGCUGACCCGCCGCACACCCAGCUCGGCGGCUUACCUAGUGGCCCUCAGAUAACGUCACUGUACGAGCCAGACCAGACCGUGACCUGUCAGGGAGUCCUAUAUGAUCUGCAUUGUUCAAAAACAGGGGCUUUUCCUUCAAUGCAUGAUGACGUCCGGGAAAGAAAGGUCACGCUUACUGCUUCGAAAGAACUCCAAUAAAGGAACGCCCGGGUCAGCCAGACCCUGGGGGUGGGCUUCUGCCCCCCUCACUCAAUCCCAUCUCCCGUUUUCUGCCCUGCACGCCCCCCCCGCCCAGGGUAUGCCCUUGGCCACCCUGAACCUGCUGAAAGCAGCUACUGGGAGGCCUGCGAAAGCGAUUCCCACCACGCUGCUGCUUUUUAAGGCCAGAUUCUCCAGGGACUCAUGGAGGGCCCAGUUUUUAAUUAGCACCCGUCUCCUUGUCAAUACACCUCAUUAACUGGUAAAACACACGGCCCGAAACACGUGAAAACAACUCACAAAACUGCAAAUACUUUCCCUCGACCGCCAGAUGAACUUCCCCUGACCUGUGUGCGGGGGCAAGACGUUUGUGUGAAACCCACAGCGUCCCCAGCACAGCCAGCCUCCAGCCCCACCCGGGCCAGGCCCUCGGGCUACAGAUGAAAACACCAGGCCGAGGGGAGAGCGGCACCCAAGUCAGAAUAAAGCUGGAAUCCGGGAGCCACUUCCACCGGAAGACUGGUCAUCAGUCACGUUAAAUUUGUGUAAAAGCGAAUCAUGGAGUCACAAGCACCAUACCCACAGCGGAUCUUCUACGAAGGGCACGGAGCUUUACAUGCAAGGAUCCGGUAAUAUUUAGUUUGGAGUUCAGAGGCCACACGUUGUCCAUUUGUUCUGCCCAUUUUCUUGAAAUAACACCAGCUGCUCCCUGGAGCCCUGGUCACUGGCCGGAUGCCCAGUCCGGAGCCUGGCGAGGAUGUCUGCCGAGCCCCUCCACUUCCUCACUCCUGCCCUUCCUCAGCCCCCCAAAUGUAAGUGAGAGAGAGGCUCUUUCUAAGGCGCGGUCUUCAACGCCAAGAACACAAUCACGUGCACACAGAACAGUCAAUGACCACAAAGAGCUGUGGGAUGUCCUCUCUCGAGGCUUAGCUAGUUGUCACCAGCAGCGACGGCAACGUUGUUCCAUCAAAAAAAUAGGCUGAAUAUCUAUGCCGUGCCCAACCGUGUCUGUGGAAGACCAACAGACCGCAAGCAUUACGUUAGCUUGGCUCCCCCCAAAAGCAUUAAAUACAAAAUAUUAAAUACAUUCUCUUCUAAAA